rnacentral:rRNA from 1 species
CCUACGGGAGGCAGCAGUGGGGAAUAUUGGACAAUGGGGGCAACCCUGAUCCAGCCAUGCCGCGUGUGUGAAGAAGGCCUUUUGGUUGUAAAGCACUUUAAGCAGGGAGGAGAGGCUAAUGGUUAAUACCCAUUAGAUUAGACGUUACCUGCAGAAUAAGCACCGGCUAACUCUGUGCCAGCAGCCGCGGUAAUACAGAGGGUGCGAGCGUUAAUCGGAAUUACUGGGCGUAAAGCGAGUGUAGGUGGCUCAUUAAGUCACAUGUGAAAUCCCCGGGCUUAACCUGGGAACUGCAUGUGAUACUGGUGGUGCUAGAAUAUGUGAGAGGGAAGUAGAAUUCCAGGUGUAGCGGUGAAAUGCGUAGAGAUCUGGAGGAAUACCGAUGGCGAAGGCAGCUUCCUGGCAUAAUAUUGACACUGAGAUUCGAAAGCGUGGGUAGC